rnacentral:tRNA from 1 species
GCCCGGGUGGCGGAAUUGGUAGACGCAAGGGACUUAAAAUCCCUCGAGUUCACACUCGUGCCGGUUCGAGUCCGGCCCCGGGCACCA